rnacentral:rRNA from 1 species
UGGGGAAUAUUGCACAAUGGGCGAAAGCCUGAUGCAGCGACGCCGCGUGCGGGAUGAAGGCCUUCGGGUUGUAAACCGCUUUUAAUUGGGAGCAAGCGAGAGUGAGUGUACCUUUUGAAUAAGCACCGGCUAACUACGUGCCAGCAGCCGCGGUAAUACGUAGGGUGCAAGCGUUAUCCGGAAUUAUUGGGCGUAAAGAGCUCGUAGGCGGUUCGUCACGCCUGGUGUGAAAGUCCAUCGCUUAACGGUGGAUCUGCGCCGGGUACGGGCAGGCUAGAGUGCAGUAGGGGAGAUUGGAAUUCCCGGUGUAACGGUGGAAUGUGUAGAUAUCGGGAAGAACACCAAUGGCGAAGGCAGAUCUCUGGGCUGUUACUGACGCUGAGGAGCGAAAGCAUGGGGAGCGAACAGGAUUAGAUACCCUGGUAGUCCAUGCCGUAAAACGGUGGAUGCUGGAUGUGGGACCCUUCCACGGGUUCCGUGUCGGAGCUAACGCGUUAAGCAUCCCGCCUGGGGG